rnacentral:rRNA from 1 species
CCGCCACGGGAAUACGUAGGGUGCAAGCGUUAAGCGGGAUUACUGGGCGUAAAGCGUGCGCAGGCGGUUCUAUAAGACAGAUGUGAAAUCCCCGGGCUCAACCUGGGAACUGCAUUUGUGACUGUAGAGCUGGAGUGCGGCAGAGGGGGAUGGAAUUCCGCGUGUAGCAGUGAAAUGCGUAGAUAUGCGGAGGAACACCGAUGGCGAAGGCAAUCCCCUGGGCCUGCACUGUCGCUCAUGCACGAAAGCGUGGGGAGCAAACAGGAUUAGAUACCCCGGUAGUCCCUGUCUCUUAUACACA